rnacentral:rRNA from 1 species
GACGAACGCUGGCGGCAGGCCUAACACAUGCAAGUCGAGCGGGAAGCAAUCCUUCGGGAUUGUGGAGAGCGGCAGACGGGUGAGUAACACGUGGGAACCUACCCAGUAGUACGGAAUAACUCAGAGAAAUUUGGGCUAAUACCGUAUACGCCCCCCUUUGGAGACAUUGGGGGGGAAAGAUUUAUCGCUAUUGGAUGGGCCCGCGUCGGAUUAGCUUGUUGGUAGGGUAACGGCCUACCAAGGCUACGAUCCGUAGCUGGUCUGAGAGGAUGAUCAGCCACACUGGGACUGAGACACGGCCCAGACUCCUACGGGAGGCAGCAGUGGGGAAUCUUGCGCAAUGGGCGAAAGCCUGACGCAGCAACGCCGCGUGCGGGAAGACGGCCUUCGGGUUGUAAACCGCUUUCAGUGGGGACGAAGCUUCCAGGGUUAAUAGCCCAUGGGGUGACGGUACCCACAGAAGAAGCCCCGGCUAACUACGUG